GAGUUUGAUCAUGGCUCAGAAUCAACGCUGGCGGCGUGCCUAACACAUGCAAGUCGAACGCGAAAGGGGAGCAAUCCCUGAGUAGAGUGGCAAACGGGUGAGUAACACGUGGGUGACCUGCCUUCGAGCGGGGGAUAACAUCCCGAAAGGGAUGCUAAUACCGCAUAACAUCCUGCCUUUGGAAAGGUGGAGAUCAAAGCCGGGGAUCGCAAGACCUGGCGCUUGAAGAGGGGCCCGCGCCUGAUUAGCUAGUUGGUGGGGUAACGGCCUACCAAGGCAACGAUCAGUAUCCGGCCUGAGAGGGCGGACGGACACACUGGGACUGAGACACGGCCCAGACUCCUACGGGAGGCAGCAGUGGGGAAUUGUUCGCAAUGGGCGCAAGCCUGACGACGCAACGCCGCGUGGAGGACGAAGAUCUUCGGGUCGUAAACUCCUGUCGAGCGGGAAGAACAUCUGCCGGGCUAAUAUCCUGGCAGGCUGACGGUACCGCUAAAGGAAGCCCCGGCUAACUCCGUGCCAGCAGCCGCGGUAAUACGGGGGGGGCAAGCGUUGUUCGGAAUUACUGGGCGUAAAGGGCUCGUAGGCGGCCAACUAAGUCGGAUGUGAAAUCCCCAGGCUCAACCUGGGAACUGCAUCCGAUACUGGAUGGCUUGAAUUCGGGAGAGGGAUGCAGAAUUCCAGGUGUAGCGGUGAAAUGCGUAGAUAUCUGGAGGAAUACCGGUGGCGAAGGCGGCAUCCUGGACCGACAUUGACGCUGAGGAGCGAAAGCUAGGGGAGCAAACGGGAUUAGAUACCCCGGUAGUCCUAGCCCUAAACGAUGAAUGCUUGGUGUAGCGGGUAUCGA
rnacentral:rRNA from 1 species